UACGUAGGGUGCGAGCGUUAAUCGGAAUUACUGGGCGUAAAGCGUGCGCAGGCGGUUCGCUAAGACCGAUGUGAAAUCCCCGGGCUUAACCUGGGAACUGCAUUGGUGACUGGCGAGCUAGAGUGUGGCAGAGGGGGGUAGAAUUCCACGUGUAGCAGUGAAAUGCGUAGAGAUGUGGAGGAAUACCGAUGGCGAAGGCAGCCCCCUGGGCUAACACUGACGCUCAUGCACGAAAGCGUGGGGAGCAAAC
rnacentral:rRNA from 1 species